UGUUAAAAUUUUCAUCCAUAUCUAUUGUUAAAAACCGACGUGGUUGAUGAAAUAAUCAAACAGUUACACAUGACAACGUGCCAUUGUACCUUAAACUGACCUACAUAGACCAAUUUUUAAAAGUAAAAUUAGAUAAAAAUUUUAACA
rfam:Gossypium hirsutum cultivar TM-1 unplaced genomic scaffold scaffold72.1, whole genome shotgun sequence